rnacentral:rRNA from 1 species
CCCUUAGAUGUUCUGGGCUGCACGCGCGCUACACUGAUGCGCUCAACGAGUUUAUGACCUUGCCCGGAAGGGUUGGGUAAUCUUUUUAAAACGCAUCGUGAUGGGGAUAGAUUAUUGCAAUUAUUAAUCUUCAACGAGGAAUUCCUAGUAAGCGCGAGUCAUCAGCUCGUGCUGAUUACGUCCCUGCCCUUUGUACACACCGCCCGUCGCUCCUACCGAUUGAGUGGUCCGGUGAGGCUUUGGGAUCUGAGCGGAAAGAGCGUUUCGCUGUUUCUGCUCGGAAAACUCAGUCGAACCUUAUCAUUUAGAGGAAGGAGAAGUCGUAACA